UGGUCCGUGGGGGGUUCGAACUCUAAACAGGUAAUAACCCGUCGUGUUAUUAGCACGACGCUCUAAACAACUGAGCUAAUGGGC